UAGGUGUUAUUGUUUUUCUUAUAUUUGUGGUAAGCCUACAAAAGAAUGACCAUACCUGCAAAGUGCUUUUUCAGCCACAGGUCUCAAAGCAAACUUAGAGAGGCAUGAUGACUGUAUACUCAAAAGAGCAGCCACCAAAAUUAAAGAUGUGAUGACACACUGUAGAGGAGACAGAUGCAAGGAGAAAGACGCAGUCUGUCAAAUUCCCACAAAAAGUUGGAGGGAUGAUGACGAAGAACCUUCAACGGACAAGCUGAAGAACUGAAUAGAGAUGUCGGAGGAGAACAAGGGAAGGAGAGAGCCCUGGAAGGUGAAGAAGAACAAGAUUUGAAGAAUCGUGUGGAACCUCUGUUCCUAGCCAUUUUUAAAAGCAGGUUACAUGGACAUUUGGCUGGAAUGGUUUAGUCAGGGAUGACUCUACCUUGAAGAGGGUGCUGGACUCAAUGACCUCAUAAGGUCCCUUUCAGAUCACUUUCCUAUGAUCUUAUGAUUUUAAGAGGUCAUUGUUGGCUGUGUCAAAGACAGCUGACAAAUCAAGGAGCAAGAGAAUGGAAGACUGGUCCUGGUAUUUGGCUAGAGUGGUUUUAUUUGAAUGCAAGGGGAAGAAGCUGGAUGGAAAAGGGCCUAGGGUGGAACAUAAGGAGUUCUGGGCAGCAGCUGUAAACUGUAGAUUCAAUGAGCUCAGGAAUGAGAGAGAAGGGCAAUGAGCCAAGGGUGACAGUUUUUUUGCAAGAAACUAAAGGCUGCUUGAAAUGUGGAUAAAGAGCUGCAAGACAGGAUAGAAGUGAGAGAGGACAUGAGAAUAAAUGUGAAAACGAUGAGAAGCUCUGGUGGGAUUGAAUAGAAUCACUGAGCCAAGUGGAGAGUUACAGGAGGAGAACAAAUGAAUUGCAGGAAGAUGGGAAAAGAAGGAGGGAGGGAGAGCCACGGGGAGGUUU